UGAGUAACACGUAUCCAACCUGCCGUCUACUCUUGGACAGCCUUCUGAAAGGAAGAUAAUACAAGAUGGCAUCAUGAGUCCACAUGUUCACAUGAUUAAAGGUAUUCCGGUAGACGAUGGGGAUGCGUUCCAUUAGAUAGUAGGCGGGGUAACGGCCCACCUAGUCUUCGAUGGAUAGGGGUUCUGAGAGGAAGGUCCCCCACAUUGGAACUGAGACACGGUCCAA
rnacentral:rRNA from 1 species